rnacentral:rRNA from 1 species
UACGGGGGGUGCGAGCGUUGUCCGGAAUUAUUGGGCGUAAAGAGCUCGUAGGCGGCUUGUCACGUCGGAUGUGAAAGCCCGGGGCUUAACCCCGGGUCUGCAUUCGAUACGGGCAGGCUAGAGUGUGGUAGGGGAGAUCGGAAUUCCUGGUGUAGCGGUGAAAUGCGCAGAUAUCAGGAGGAACACCGGUGGCGAAGGCGGAUCUCUGGGCCAUUACUGACGCUGAGGAGCGAAAGCGUGGGGAGCGAACAGG